CAUGCGCAGCUACACAUGCAAGUCGAGCGGAAACGAUGGAAGCUUGCUUCCAGGCGUCGAGCGGCGGACGGGUGAGUAAUGCAUAGGAAUCUGCCCGAUAGUGGGGGAUAACCUGGGGAAACUCAGGCUAAUACCGCAUACGUCCUACGGGAGAAAGCAGGGGAUCUUCGGACCUUGCGCUAUCGGAUGAGCCUAUGUCGGAUUAGCUAGUUGGUGAGGUAACGGCUCACCAAGGCGACGAUCCGUAGCUGGUCUGAGAGGAUGAUCAGCCACACUGGGACUGAGACACGGCCCAGACUCCUACGGGAGGCAGCAGUGGGGAAUAUUGGACAAUGGGGGAAACCCUGAUCCAGCCAUGCCGCGUGUGUGAAGAAGGCCUUCGGGUUGUAAAGCACUUUCAGCGAGGAAGAAGGCCUGAGGGCUAAUACCCCUCAGGAAGGACAUCACUCGCAGAAGAAGCACCGGCUAACUCCGUGCCAGCAGCCGCGGUAAUACGGAGGGUGCGAGCGUUAAUCGGAAUUACUGGGCGUAAAGCGCGCGUAGGUGGCUUGAUAAGCCGGUUGUGAAAGCCCCGGGCUCAACCUGGGAACGGCAUCCGGAACUGUCAG
rnacentral:rRNA from 1 species